rnacentral:lncRNA from 1 species
GUCCUGGAACAGGUUGUGUGAGCCCCUUGAGGCAUUCAUCCAACACCAUUUCCGAGAAAUCUCUGUUUCAAUCUGUUCCUGUAUGUUAGUUAUUGAAAAACAAGUUGACCUUUUUGUGUUCCUUGAGCCCAGUCAUGAAUGGCCCUUGUGACUGGGCCUCACACCAAACAACUCAUUACACAAAGAGGUAAGGUCCCAGACCACGCCAAAGCUUCCUGAGACCUCUCCUCAUCUGUGCAUGGACGGAUGACCAACUCUGGGGCCCAGGCUGUUGCUUCCCAGUAUAAUGAUGAAUCCGCCAUAGUCUGGUGAGUGUAGAGGCUGACUCUGGAGCCCAGGCUGUACCUUCUCGGUCUGGUGAUGAAUCCUCAAUCGUGUGUUUUCUCUGUGUAGGACGUGAGACUUUACGACCUGCUAAAAAUGAGCUUUCCUAAUAAUGUGGGACCUAUUCAUCUAAGAAUAAAUCAUCCGCUCCGUGACAGAUCAGACAGAACCUGAGACCAGAAACUCAUUUUCUUCUAAAAUGCUUUCUCUGAAAGAUUUUAAAAAGAAAAGGGGGAAAUGUAAAAGGAAAAUACAUCUUGAGACCCCCAAAUCACUAAGCCAAAGAAAGAGGUUAAGCUGAGAACUGCUUAGGGAAAAUCUUCCUUCCAUUCUAUUCCUAAAAACGAUAGCUCGUAAGAUUAAAAAAGCUACAUACCUGCCUCACAAGAAAUUUCCUUGCAGACAAAGGGCAUGCAGAACUCAAAGUCAUUCCUCUGCUCACUGAGAUAGAUAUGUAUUGAUUGUCUCCACUGGAAAGGCUAAUCAGAAACUCAAAAGAAUAACAUCGAAGGUGCCACUCCUGAGGAAAUCUCAACUGCACGACCCCUACUACGCCCCAAUUCAGCAGGAAGCAGUUAGAGCGGUCGUGGGCCAACCUCCCCCAACAGCACUUGGGUUUUCCUGUUGAGAGGGGGACUGAAAGGCAGGACUAGCUGGAUUUCCUAGGCCGACUAAGAAUCCCUAAGCCUAGCCGGGAAGGUGACCGCCUCCACCUUUAAAACACAGGGCUUGCAACUUAGCUCACACUUGACCAAUCAGGUAGUAAAGAGAGCUCACUAAAACGCUAAUUAGGCUAAAACAGGAGGUAAAGAAAUAGCCAAUCAUCUAUUGCCUGAGAGCACAGGGGGAGGGACAAUGAUUGGGAUAUAAACCCAGGCAUUCAAGCUGGCAAGGGCAACCCCCUUUGGGUCCCCUCCCAUUUUAUGGGAGCUCUGUUUUCACUCUAUUAAAUCUUGCAACUGCGAAAAAAAAAAAAAAGAAUGCAACGGUUUGCCUUUUAUCUGCCUAUGACCUGGAAGCCCCCUCCCUGCUUUGAGUUGUCCUGCCUUUCAGGACUGAACCAAUGUACAUCUUACACAUAUUGAUUGAUGUCUCAUGUCUCUCUAAAAUGUAUAAACCAAGCCAUGCCCCGACCACCUUGGGCACAUGUCACCAGGGCCUCCUGAGGCUAUGUUACAGGCACAUGUCCUUAACUUUGGGAAAAUAAACUUUCUAAAUUGACUGGGAUCUUUCUCAGAUAUUUGGAACUCACUCUACACAGACACACAGACACACACACAAACACACUCACAAACAUGCACACACAAAUACACAUAUAUGUAUAUUUGUGUUAUAAACGUAUUAGUCCUUUUUCUGUAAUACAGAUUUUAAGUAAACUCCAGUGCUUCAUUUGUCUUUUUACUUUGCUUAUCGUUCUUUUUUUCUUUUAAGUUUUAAAACACUUUAGGGAAUAGGAAGAGCAAGAUGACUAAAAAAAUCUCUCCAAUGAUAACCCUACCACAGGAACACCGAAUUGAAUAACUAUACAUGCAAGAAAGAACUUCCAUAAAAACCAAAAAAAAAUAAGCAAUCACAGUACCUGAUUAUAACAUCAUAUCAAGAAAAGAAGCACUGAAGAGGGUAGCCAGGGUAGUCUUGCAUUGCCUACAUCAUCCCUCCUCCAUCCCCCAGCAGUACAAAGAGAGAUAAUGUAUGUGCUUGUGGGAGGGGGAGUCAAGGACUUUGGUAUUUGUAUUGGAAUUCAGUGCUACCUUGUCCCAGUGGAACACAACACAGGGCAGAAUUUAGCCAGUGCCAACAGAGGAGGCAUUUAGACUAACCCCAGUCAAAAGGUAAUCUUUUACUCCAGCAGUGGGAACCUGAGCUCUGGCUAGCUCCAUCAAUGCCUGAUUAAUGUAGCCUGGGGUCCUGGAUAAACUUGAAAGACAGUCAGGCUCAAGGCUUGCAGUCCUUGGGUAAGUCCUGUUGCUUUGCUGAGCUUGGAGACAGUGGUAUUGAGAUACCCACAGCUCAGUGAGACAAAAGCUGGAGUGGCCAAGGGAAUGCUUGCAUCAGCUCUUCUCCAACUCCAGGAAGCACAACUCAUAGCUCCAGGAGAGACUCCUUCCACUUGCAGAAAGGAAAAGGAAGAGUAAAAAGAACUUUGUCCUGUGACUUAGAUACACUUUCAGCCACAGUUUAAAAAUAACAAUAAUAAAAAAAUAAAAGCAUAAAGCAGAGUCCUGAGACCUCCAAUUCCAGACCCUAGGUCUUGGAUGACAUUUCUAAACCCACCCUGGGCUAGAAGGGAACCCACUAACCUGAAGUGAAAAACCAAGCCUUGGCAGGAUGCAACACAUGCUGACUAAAGGGACCUUGAUAGGGCUACAUGAGUGGUAGCCAGGCAGUAGUCACCAUGGGCCUUGGACUAGACCCAUUACCGUGCUGGCUUCAAGUGUGACCCAGCAUAGUCCCAACUUUGGUGGCCCUGGAAGUGUUUGCAUCAUCCCUCCCCCAAUUUCAGUCAGCCCAGCACAGAGAGACAAACACUUGUUUGGGGAAAAGUGAGAGAAGAGGAUGAGAGACUCCCUGGUAUUCCAGGAAAUGCUCCCAGAUCUUAUUCAAGUCCACCCAUGAUAUACCUCUGCAAGUAUGCAAAUAUGGCAUCACUACUGGACUUGUGGCACUCCCUAGUGCAGAUAUAGCUGCAGUAACCAAAGACUUAAGUUGCAACUCUAGAUAUGGGAAAGUCUUCUCGAGAAGUAUAAAUCCAAACAAGAAAGAACUGCAAAGAUUAGAAUACCUAAACUCUUCAGCGCCCAAACAUCAUGAACAUCAACAAGCAUCAAGAAUAUACAAGAAAACAUGACCUGACCAAAUGAACAAAAUAAGGCACCACUGACCAAUCCUGGAGUGAGAGACAUAUGUGACUUUUCAAAAGAGAACUCAAAAUAGGUUUUUUUGAGGAAGCUUAACCAAUUUCACAGUAACACAAAUAAGGAAUUUAGAAUUCUAUUAGAAAACAUUUACAAAGAGAUUGAAAUAAUAGAAAAAUCAAGUAGAUAUUUAGAAGUUUAAAAAUUCAAUUAACAAAAUGAAAACAUGCAUCAGAGUAUUUUAAUAGCAGAAAUUAUUAGGCUGAAAAAAAAUAGUGAACUUGGAGAUCGGCUACUGAAAAUGCACAGUAAGAGAAAGCAAAAGAAAAAAGGAUGAAAAAGAAUGAAGUAAACCAACAAGAUCUAGAAAAAGGCCUCAAAAAAAUCUAAUCAUUACUGGUCUAAAAGAGGAGGUAUAGCAAGAGGUUGGGGUAAAAGUCUAUUCAAAGAAAUAAUAACAGUGAACUUUUGAAACCUAAAGAAAGUUAUCAAUAUUCAAGUUUAAGAAAGUAAUAGAACACCAAGUGGAUUUAACACAUUAAGACUACUUCAAGACAUUCAAUAAUCAAACUCCCAAAACAAAAAGAUAAAGAAAGAAUCCUAAAUGCAGCAAGAAAAAACAAGCAAAUAACAUACAAAGGAGUGUCAGUAUCCAGUGAAAAUACCUUUAAAACAUAAAGGAGGCCAGGCACGGUGGCUCAUGCCUGUAAUCCCAGCACAUUAGCAGGCUGAGGCAGGUGGAUGCACGACGUCAGGAGUUUGAGACCAGCCCGGCCAACAUGGUGAAACCCCGUCUCUAGUAAAAAUACAAAAAUUAUCUGAGUGUUGUGGCGUGCACCUGUAACCCCAGCUGCUUGAGAGGCUGAGGCAAGAGAAUUGCUUGAACCCAGGAGUCAGAGGUUGUAGUGAGCCGAGAUCGGAGAUCGUGCCAUUGCACUCCAGCUGGGGUGACAGAGCAAGACUCUUUCACAAAAAAAAAAAAAAAAAAAAAAAAACACACACACGCACACACAUAAAGGAGAAAUAUUUUCCCAAUGAGCGUUAAGAAAUUUGGAAAACACCAGACCUGUCAUUCAAGAAAUGUAAAAGGAAGUUCUUGAUUCUAAAAAGAAAGAAUGUUAAUGAGCAAUAAGAAAUUAUCUAAAGGUAAAAACUCACAGGUAACAGUGAGUACACAAAGAAUAUUCUGACAAUGUAUUCGCUGUGUGUAAACCAUUCAUAUCUUGAGUAGUAAGACUAAAAGACAAACUUAUUUAAAAUAAUAACUAAAAUACUUUUUAAGGUGUAGAUACUGCAAAGGACAUGAACUCAUUCUUUUUUAUAGCUGCAUAGUAUUCCAUGAUGUAUAUGUACCACAUUUUCUUUAUGCAGUCUAACAUUGAUGGGCAUUUGGGUUGGUUCCAAGUCUUUGUUAUUGUGAAUAGUGCUUCAAUAAACAUGCGUGCAUGUGUCUUUAUAGUUGAAUGAUUUAUAAUCCUUUGGGUAUAUACCCUGUAAUGGCAUUGCUGAGUCAAAUGGUAUUUCUGGUUCUGGAUUCUUGAGUAAUCAACACACUGUCUUCUACAGUGGUUGAAUUAAUUUACACUCCCACCCACAGUAUAAAAGCGGAUACAUUACUAGACAUACACAACUUACCAAAAAAAAAAAAAAAUAGUAAAAGCAUUUCUAUUUCUCCACAUCCUCUCCAGCGUCUGUUGUUUCCUGACUUUUUAGUGAUUGCCAUUCUAACUGGCAUGAGAUGGUAUCUAAUUGUGGUUUGAUUUACAUUUCUCUAAUGACCAGUGAUGAUGAGCUUUUUUUCAUAUGUUUGUUGGCUGCAUAAAUGUCUUCUUUUGAAAAGUGUCUGUUUAUAUCCUUCGCCCACUUUUUGAUAAGGUUGUUUGCUUUUUUCUUGUAAAUUUGUUUAAGUUUCUUGUAAAUUCUGGAUAUUAGCCCUUUAUCAGAUGGAUAGAUUGCAAAAAUUUUCUCCCAUUCUGUAGGCUGCCUGUUCACUCUGAUGAUAGCUCCUUUUGCUGUGCCAAAGCACUUCAUUCUCAGCAAACUAACACAGGAAUAGAAAACCAAACACCACAUGUUCUCACUCAUAAGUGGAAGUUGAACAAUGAGAACAUAUGGGCAGAGGGAGG